rnacentral:lncRNA from 1 species
AUGAAAACAGCAGCAAAAUCCAAACGAAGACCUCACAUAUGUGUGUCUGACCUGGUCACUUACAUCAGGGACACGGCUUUAGUAUUCACAGGAAAAGGCCAACAGAAGAGGAUGCAUAACCAUGCUAACAGUAAUAAUUUGUACCUGGAGGAGUUUGAGGAUAUUGUUGAUGAGCUGUUGUUGCGGCUCGAUGUGAUAACUGAUACUGAUGUCCCUGAUGAUCAAGAAGACAAUGAUAAUCAGAGCUGCUGCAGUUCUGCACAUUACAGCUCAGAGGAUGUUGAUUUGGAGAACACUGUGGGAAUGAGGAAACACUCCUGUGUGUACAGUGCCUCCUCAUACAUGCAUGAAGAAGACGGAGAAAGUAGGCUCAGGUCACCGCUGGAAAGGAAAACUCUCCAGCCUGUUGGAGGAAACAGAGGAACGAUCCAUGGCAGAUCCAUUUUCACCGGCCAGAAGAUCCAUACAAGCAUCACAACCACACCUGUGAAGAAGUCAAAAGACUUACAGACUUUCCUGUGCAGUGAUCACUCAAUUAGUGUUCAAAUGAAUGAAUGCAGUGAAACACUGAGCUCAAACAGAGCUAAACACUUUAGUCUGACCUGGGAGAACAAGGUUAAGAAUGUCUGUACUAAAUCCUGGAGCACACAAGCAGAUCUAACUCCAGUUUUAAACUCUUCUAAUAUCAGUAGAACCAGUCUAUCAUCUCACACAAAGGCCUUUAACCAGUUGUGUAUAAGUGAAUCACCUGUAGAAAACACAGAGACAUAUUGUGAAUUACAAACAGUACAUAUUCCAGGUCAGUGUUGCUAAGGGGAUGUUUGUUAAUCCACAAUGGACAUAUUCAAGUGAUAUUCAAUAUUUAUCUCAAAUUAAACCAUAAUUUUCAAUCUUGGUCUUGGAGGCACUGUGCCCUGCACAUUUUUGCUUUCCCUUAUUCCAAAACAUGCGAUUCAACCAACCGGCUUAUUAACAAGUUUGAGUGUCAGGGCGGUGUUAAAUGUUAUAAAGUAGGAAAAACACUAAAAUGUGCAUUGGACUCCAGGACUAGGAUUUAAACAGUGCCUCAUUUCAUUAUACAUAUAAAGUAAAAUAUAAAAUAUUUGUAUGUAGUGUAAUAUUAUGUGUCAUGUUUUCACUGCUGUCCCAUGAAAAAAUAUAUAAAAAUAUUUACAAAAGUGCUGAGGGGUGUACUCACUUUUGUGAUGUACUGUAUUCAAGGAUUCAGGGAGACUGUGUCAUACUUAAGAGCAGUGUGUUCAAAUUAGGUAAAGAAUACUAAAAGUGCAUUUGGAAUGUAAUAUACUUUAUGAAAAUACAAAUGAAAAAAAAAUACUUUCUCUGCAUUUUCAUAAAAUGUGUUUUUAAUCAAUGCUUUAAAUUAUAUGUUGUGUUGAUAGAAUUAUAUAGUUGCAUUAAAUACAGCUUAAAG